CCUACGGGAGGCAGCAGUGAGGAAUAUUGGUCAAUGGGCGGGAGCCUGAACCAGCCAAGUCGCGUGAAGGAUGACUGCCCUACGGGUUGUAAACCUCUUUUAUAAAGGAAUAAAGUGAGGCACGUGUGCCUUUUUGUAUGUACUUGAUGAAUAAGGAUCGGCUAACUCCGUGCCAGCAGCCGCGGUAAUACGGAGGAUCCGAGCGUUAUCCGGAUUUAUUGGGUUUAAAGGGUGCGUAGGUGGUUUGUUAAGUCAGCGGUCAAAUGGAGGGGCUCAACCCCUGCCCGCCGUUGAAACUGGCGCUCUUGAGUGGGAGAGAGGUAUGCGGAAUGCGUGGUGUAGCGGUGAAAUGCAUAGAUAUCACGCAGAACCCCGAUUGCGAAGGCAGCAUGCCGGCUUCCGACUGACGCUGAAGCACGAAAGCGUGGGGAUCGAACAGGAUUAGAUACCCUUGUAGUC
rnacentral:rRNA from 1 species